rnacentral:rRNA from 1 species
CUGAUUGAACGUGCUUGCACGGACUUGACGUUGGUUUACCAGCGAGUGGCGGACGGGUGAGUAACACGUAGGUAACCUGCCCCAAAGCGGGGGAUAACAUUUGGAAACAGAUGCUAAUACCGCAUAACAAUUUGAAUCGCAUGAUUCAAAUUUAAAAGAUGGCUUCGGCUAUCACUUUGGGAUGGACCUGCGGCGCAUUAGCUUGUUGGUAGGGUAACGGCCUACCAAGGCUGUGAUGCGUAGCCGAGUUGAGAGACUGAUCGGCCACAAUGGAACUGAGACACGGUCCAUACUCCUACGGGAGGCAGCAGUAGGGAAUCUUCCACAAUGGGCGCAAGCCUGAUGGAGCAACACCGCGUGAGUGAAGAAGGGUUUCGGCUCGUAAAGCUCUGUUGUUAGAGAAGAACGUGCGUGAGAGCAACUGUUCACGCAGUGACGGUAUCUAACCAGAAAGUCACGGCUAACUACGUGCCAGCAGCCGCGGUAAUACGUAGGUGGCAAGCGUUAUCCGGAUUUAUUGGGCGUAAAGCGAGCGCAGGCGGUUUGAUAAGUCUGAUGUGAAAGCCUUUGGCUUAACCAAAGAAGUGCAUCGGAAACUGUCAGACUUGAGUGCAGAAGAGGACAGUGGAACUCUGGGGUUGGGCGGGGGGUGGA